GAUGAACGCUGGCGGCGUGCCUAACACAUGCAAGUCGAACGAAGCGAUUUAACGGAAGUUUUCGGAUGGAAGUUGAAUUGACUGAGUGGCGGACGGGUGAGUAACGCGUGGGUAACCUGCCUUGUACUGGGGGACAACAGUUAGAAAUGACUGCUAAUACCGCAUAAGCGCACAGUAUCGCAUGAUACAGUGUGAAAAACUCCGGUGGUACAAGAUGGACCCGCGUCUGAUUAGCUAGUUGGUAAGGUAACGGCUUACCAAGGCGACGAUCAGUAGCCGACCUGAGAGGGUGACCGGCCACAUUGGGACUGAGACACGGCCCAAACUCCUACGGGAGGCAGCAGUGGGGAAUAUUGCACAAUGGGCGAAAGCCUGAUGCAGCGACGUCGCGUGAGUGAAGAAGUAUUUC
rnacentral:rRNA from 1 species